CUGUCCUACGGGGCGCAGCAGUGGGGGAUAUUGCACAAUGGGGGAAACCCUGAUGCAGCGACGCCGCGUGUGGGAAGACGGUCCUCUGGAUUGUAAACCACUGUCCCCAGGGACGAAAAUGACGGUACCUGGGGAGGAAGCUCCGGCUAACUACGUGCCAGCAGCCGCGGUAAUACGUAGGGAGCGAGCGUUGUCCGGAAUUACUGGGUGUAAAGGGAGCGUAGGGGGGGAUGGAAGUUGGGGGUGAAAAAUACCGGCUAAACUGG
rnacentral:rRNA from 1 species